rnacentral:rRNA from 1 species
GAGUUUGAUCGUGGCUCAGAUUGAACGCUGGCGGCAUGCUUUACACAUGCAAGUCGAACGGUAACGCGGGGGCAACCCUGGCGACGAGUGGCGAACGGGUGAGUAAUACAUCGGAACAUGUCCUGGGGUGGGGGAUAGCUCGGCGAAAGCCGGAUUAAUACCGCAUACGCUCUGAGGAGGAAAGCGGGGGACCUUCGGGCCUCGCGCUGCAGGAGUGGCCGAUGUCGGAUUAGCUAGUUGGUGAGGUAAAGGCUCACCAAGGCGACGAUCCGUAGCUGGUCUGAGAGGAUGAUCAGCCACACUGGGACUGAGACACGGCCCAGACUCCUACGGGAGGCAGCAGUGGGGGAUUUUGGACAGUGGGGGCAACCCUGAUCCAGCCAUGCCGCGUGAGUGAAGAAGGCCUUCGGUUGUAAG